rnacentral:rRNA from 1 species
AGGCCGCUGCUAUCCGGCUGAGACUAAGCCAUGCUAGUUAAGGGGCUCUUCGGAGCACCGGCGGACGGCUCAGUAACACGUGGACAACCUGCCCUCGGGUGGGGGAUAACCCCGGGAAACUGGGGCUAAUCCCCCAUAGGUGAUAGGUGCUGGAAUGCCCUAUCACCGAAAGCGCUCAGCGCCCGAGGAUGGGUCUGCGGCGGAUUAGGUAGUUGGUGGGGUAACGGCCCACCAAGCCUAAGAUCCGUACGGGCUGUGGGAGCAGGAGCCCGGAGAUGGACCCUGAGACAAGGGUCCAGGCCCUACGGGGCGCAGCAGGCGCGAAACCUCCGCAAUGCGGGAAACCGCGACGGGGUUAGCCGGAGUGCCCGUGCAUUGCACGGGCUGUUGGGGUGCCUAAAUAGCACCCCAUAGCAAGGGCCGGGCAAGGCCGGUGGCAGCCGCCGCGGUAAGACCGGCGGCCCGAGUGGCGGCCACUCUUAUUGGGCCUAAAGCGUCCGUAGCCGGCCCAGUAAGUCUUCCGGGAAAUCUGGUCGCUUAACGAUCAGACUUCCGGGGGAUACUGCUGGGCUAGGGACCGGGAGAGGCCGAGGGUAUUCCCGGGGUAGGGGUGAAAUCCUGUAAUCCCGGGAGGACCACCUGUGGCGAAGGCGCUCGGCUAGAACGGGUCCGACGGUGAGGGACGAAGGCCUGGGGAGCGAACCGGAUUAGAUACCCGGGUAGUCCAGGCUGUAAACGAUGCGGGCUAGGUGUCACCGGAGCUACGAGCUCCGGUGGUGCCGGAGGGAAGCCGUUAAGCCCGCCGCCUGGGAAGUACGGCCGCAAGGCUGAAACUUAAAGGAAUUGGCGGGGGAGCACUACAACGGGUGGAGCCUGCGGUUUAAUUGGAUUCAACGCCGGGAAGCUUACCGGGGGAGACAGCGGGAUGAAGGUCGGGCUGAAGACCUUACCAGACUAGCUGAGAGGUGGUGCAUGGCCGCCGUCAGUUCGUACUGUGAAGCAUCCUGUUAAGUCAGGCAACGAGCGAGACCCGCGCCCUCAGUUGCCAGCGGAUCGCUUUUGCGAUGCCGGGCACACUGGGGGGACUGCCGCCGUGUAAGGCGGAGGAAGGAGGGGGCCACGGCAGGUCAGCAUGCCCCGAAACCCCCGGGCUGCACGCGGGCUACAAUGGCGGGGACAGCGGGCUUCCGACCCCGAAAGGGGGAGGGAAUCCCUUAAACCCCGCCGUAGUUGGGAUCGAGGGCUGCAACUCGCCCUCGUGAACGAGGAAUCCCUAGUAACCGCGCGUCAACAUCGCGCGGUGAAUACGUCCCUGCUCCU